GCGGGUUUAGCUCAGUUGGGAGAGCGUCAGACUGAAGUCCAAACUUCAUCAAUACGAAAGUACAUCUGAAGGUCGUGUGUUCGAUCCACACAAACCGCA
rnacentral:tRNA from 1 species